rnacentral:rRNA from 1 species
UUUGUUUGCGCAGGAUAGGUGGGAGGCGUUGAAGAUUUUCUUGCGGGGAGAUUGGAGCCGUUGGUGAGAUACCACUCUAACAAUGCUAGGAUUCUAACCCUAUACCGUUAUCCGGUUAGGGGACAGUUUCAGGUGGUCAGUUUGACUGGGGCGGUCGCCUCCCAAAAGGUAACGGAGGCGUGCAAAGGUUUCCUCAGGCUGGUCGGAAAUCAGUCGUAGAGUGUAAAGGCAUAAGGAAGCUUGAUUGUGAGACCUACAAGUCGAACAAAGACGAAAGUCGGCCUUAGUGAUCCGACGGUUCCGAGUGGAAGGGCCGUCGCUCAACGGAUAAAAGUUACUCUAGGGAUAACAGGCUGAA